ACGAUGAUGUGUAACCAAUGACAAAGUAAAGAGGCGUGACCUGCUGGAGGCGCCCCAGUUGUGAAGACAAUUAAAUUCACGGCUUCCACAGAAGACAGCUGUUGUUUCCAGCGCGGAGUAUGUCGUUUACAUUGUUUAGGUUGAAAUUAAACCCAGCCGUGUUUGGUAAACACAUUUUUGGGCAUUCAAAUCUUGACCAAGUGACCAGCAUCAAUGUCAGUUGGACUGUGUGGUUGUGAUCUUAGACAACCUGAACAGAUCCUUUUUGUAUUGAGGACCCCAGGUGAUGAUACAGAGUACAUCACCAU